UAUUUGCUCUUUGUCAGGCCUUCAAUUUCCGAUCGAUUUCUUAUUCCUCCUCCUCAAUUUAUAACACGCGAACCACAAUAUUCUCUCAAAUUUCAAGAACCUUAUGUUCCUCAUCAUCAGUUUCUUCGGAUACGAGGCAACCAUCUGUCGCGAGGCUUCCGUUUGUGGAUGUUUUCCUGGGAAAGAUAAAGAACAAUAAAACUCAUUUAGCCAACAGGAAAAUCUAUUCACGUAGAUCUACCAUUUUGCCUGAGUUCGUUGAUCAAACUGUCCGGAUUUACAAUGGAAAAAUUUUUGUUCGCUGCAAGAUCAAUGAAGGCAAAGUUGGUCAUAAGCUUGGAGAGUUUGCUUUGACUCGGAAAAGGAAAUUUUUGAGGAACAAGGUUGAACCUGCUAAAAAGAAAGGCAAGAAAUAAGCAUUUGCUACCCAAACCCCGUCUCAUUUUGAAAGGGAGGGGUGAUUCCGGAGAAAGAUGGGCAAAACGAAAGCAAUGGAAGAAGGAAGAAUUUGGUUUUAAGGUCCUGUUUUCUUAGUCAAAUGAUUGUAAGGUUUUGUUUGGUCAAUUCCUGGCCUGCACUGUUAUUCUGAAGAACUAUGGUUUUAGAUGACCUUACUAUUCAAUAUACUGAUCAGAACUCAGAUUUAUCAUUUACGAAGCAACAGUUGGGGUUU